CAGAUCCCCUUUCCUUAUCACUUUUCCAGCCAGCUUUGUGACUCUAAGUGUUGGACGGAGAACUGAUAAGGGUAGGUGACUGG
rnacentral:pre_miRNA from 7 species